GACGAACGCUGGCGGCGUGCCUAAUACAUGCAAGUCGAGCGAGCUUGCCUAGAUGAAUUUGGUGCUUGCACCAAAUGAAACUAGAUACAAGCGAGCGGCGGACGGGUGAGUAACACGUGGGUAACCUGCCCAAGAGACUAGGAUAACACCUGGAAACAGAUGCUAAUACCGGAUAACAACACUAGACGCAUGUCUAGAGUUUAAAAGAUGGUUCUGCUAUCACUCUUGGAUGGACCUGCGGUGCAUUAGCUAGUUGGUAAGGUAACGGCUUACCAAGGCAAUGAUGCAUAGCCGAGUUGAGAGACUGAUCGGCCACAUUGGGACUGAGACACGGCCCAAACUCCUACGGGAGGCAGCAGUAGGGAAUCUUCCACAAUGGACGCAAGUCUGAUGGAGCAACGCCGCGUGAGUGAAGAAGGGUUUCGGCUCGUAAAGCUCUGUUGGUAGUGAAGAAAGAUAGAGGUAGUAACUGGCCUUUAUUUGACGGUAAUUACUUAGAAAGUCACGGCUAACUACGUGCCAGCAGCCGCGGUAAUACGUAGGUGGCAAGCGUUGUCCGGAUUUAUUGGGCGUAAAGCGAGUGCAGGCGGUUCAAUAAGUCUGAUGUGAAAGCCUUCGGCUCAACCGGAGAAUUGCAUCAGAAACUGUUGAACUUGAGUGCAGAAGAGGAGAGUGGAACUCCAUGUGUAGCAGUGGAAUGCGUAGAUAUAUGGAAGAACACCAGUGGCGAAGGCGGCUCUCUGGUCUGCAACUGACGCUGAGGCUCGAAAGCAUGGGUAGCGAACAGG
rnacentral:rRNA from 1 species